UAGUGUGUGUGUGUGUGUGUGUGUGUGUGUGUGUGUGUGUGUGUGUGUGUGUGGGAGUUCCUGAUUUAUCAGUCAUUAGAUUCGAGUCUGUCAUUUUAACUCGGCCAUGACGCUCAUUUGUACAACGUGCUUGAGCGAGCUUUCCCUGCUAAACAUCUCAGGCGUGAGACAGGCUGGACGGGGGUUAACUGCAAACACAUGACCACUGUCAUACGACCUCGUUUUAAGUUGUAGAUGGUGUGCAGCAGGAACAUGAAUCAGGGACGAGGAGCGGAAAGCACUGUGACAGCUGCAGCUCAUUACCAGCACUAUUACUGAUCUAGGGGACUGCUGGGGGAAAUUCCUCCUUCCAAGGAAAGCGUUCCUGUUUACCAUACAGCACUGCAGAUCAGGAGCUGCACACACAGAUGCACAAACACACAUACAUAAGCACACACAUGCCUAUGUUUGGUUGGGGUUUUUUUUUCUUUUUUUUUUUUUUUUACAUCCUACCAUAUGUGAGCAUUUGCCUUCAGUGCUUAAACACUAACGUGCAUCCUCGCUUUCAGUUUACAUUAAUACACUCUCUGUCAGAGUACAGUGUACAGUAUUUACACCUAGCUUUCUGUCUUUUAUUAUUGCACACACACACUCACACACAUAUGCUCCUUCAAUCAGGCACGUCUGACUCAGCCUUGCUGCUUUACGUCAUUUGGCCCAAUCAGGCAGACCUUCACCGGCCCAUUAAAGUGGAA
ensembl:lncRNA